UCAGACGAUGCGUCAUGCAUAUCAAUAAGCGGAGGAAAAGAAACUAACAAGGAUUCCCCUAGUAACGGCGAGUGAAGCGGGAAGAGCUCAAAUUUGAAAUCUUAAAGGGUUUCCCUUUACGAAUUGUAGUUUAAAGAAGUGUUUUCUGUUGAGGUUUUGGUAAAAGUUCUUUGGAAUAGGACAUCAUAGAGGGUGAGAAUCCCGUAUUUGACCUUCACUUUCAACUUUGUGAUACACUUUCAAAGAGUCGGAUUGUUUGGGAAUGCAGUCCAAAAUGGGUGGUAAAUUUCAUCUAAAGCUAAAUAUUGGCGAGAGACCGAUAGCGAACAAGUACCGUGAGGGAAAGAUGAAAGGAACUUUGAAAAGAGAGUUAAACAGUACGUGAAAUUGUCAAAAGGGAAGCGUUUGACACCAGUGUUGUUUUUCUGAAGAUCAAUUAAAGAACUGUUUAUGCUAAGCUGUUUAGACUUUAUCAGCUAUCUGUUUAGUUUUGAGCUUUUCUUUAAUGCACUUUUCAGUUAACAAGUCAACAUCAAUUUCUUUUGCUGUAAAAAAGCUUGAGGGAGGUGGCUUGAGAUUCGUCUUAAGUGUUUAUAGCCUCUUGCCUAUGCAGUCGGAGAGAUUGAGGUCUGCAGCGUAGAUCCUUCGGGGCUAAAUGCAUUUGUGCUAAGUUAUAGCAUUUCAUAGACAACUUGUUGACUAUGAUUUGUCUUGUAGCUUACUCGCUUAUGUUAUUUUACCUACGCUUAGGAUGUUGACACACGCGCGUGCUCG
rnacentral:rRNA from 1 species